rfam:Picea glauca, whole genome shotgun sequence.
ACAUGGCUACAACAUAGCGUUAAUGCACCAAAUCACAUUAUAACUUCGUAGUUAAAUGCAUUCAGGCUAGAGUAGUAUUGGGAUGGGUGACCACCUUGGAAGUCCUAGUGUUUUACAUGCC